rnacentral:rRNA from 1 species
GACGAACGCUGGCGGCGUGCUUAACACAUGCAAGUCGAACGAGAAUCUAUGGAAAGAGGAUUCGUCCAAUUGAAAUAGAGGACAGUGGCGGACGGGUGAGUAACGCGUGAGGAACCUGCCUUUCAGAGGGGGACAACAGUUGGAAACGACUGCUAAUACCGCAUAACGCAUAGAAGUCGCAUGGCUUUUAUGCCAAAGAUUUAUCGCUGAAAGAUGGCCUCGCGUCUGAUUAGCUGGUUGGUGAGGUAACGGCCCACCAAGGCAACGAUCAGUAGCCGGACUGAGAGGUCGAACGGCCACAUUGGGACUGAGACACGGCCCAGACUCCUACGGGAGGCAGCAGUGGGGGAUAUUGCACAAUGGGCGAAAGCCUGAUGCAGCAACGCCGCGUGAGGGAAGACGGUUUUCGGAUUGUAAACCUCUGUUCUAAGUGACGAAGAAUGACGGUAGCUUAGGAGGAAAGCCCCGGGCUAACUACGUGCCAGCAGCCGCGC